rnacentral:rRNA from 1 species
UACGGGGGGGGCAAGCGUUGUUCGGAAUUACUGGGCGUAAAGGGCUCGUAGGUGGCCCACUAAGUCUGACGUGAAAUCCCUCAGCUUAACUGGGGAACUGCGUCUGAUACUGGAUGGCUUGAGUUUGGGAGAGGGAUGCGGAAUUCCAGGUGUAGCGGUGAAAUGCGUAGAUAUCUGGAGGAACACCGGUGGCGAAGGCGGCAUCCUGGACCAACACUGACACUGAGACGCGAAAGCGUGGGGAGCGAACAGG